UUGUGCUGCAUACAUUAAAUUUGACAAUAGAACAAAAGGUUUUAGUGUCUCUAUAUUGAAUAAAUACCAAAGAGGCGUUGGGUUCGUUAGGUAUGCAUGCUCGGAAAAACAGCGAGUGGCUCACUUCAUUCAUUACAAGUAUUUCACGCAUGGAUAAAUCGUGCAUUUUGUUGAGAUUGCAAAGAGUAAUGUAAUACAAACAUUUACUGCUAAUGUUAUUUUCGUCAAGAUUGUGGCGGGUUGGUGUGUCUAAACGGAGGGACCCUGGACUUGAAUAAAUGCACAUGUUCCUGCCAACAACCAUUUCACAUUCAACCGAAUUGUGCACUGAACUGCGAGGGCGCCAUAGAUCCUAGCUACUGUGGAUCGACUUGGCCUGCAAGUUAUUGCGAGGAGAUUUCCAACGUACCAUAUGCCUGUCCCAACAUGUGCAAGUGGUGCCCAUACGCGGACUUGAAAUUCCUCAAGUAACCAAGAUCAGCAUUUUCUGGUGACGAGAUGAUGGAAGCUUAUGAACUUGAACUUAUGUCUUGAUGCAAUAUAAACUCGCUUGUACAAUUCAUCUUUUUGUCUGUUGGGCAUACGACAAAUGUAACUUAUUUAAAUUAUUUGUGAAAUAUUCAUGUGUUUAAGAAUUAAUUAGAUAAGUUAAUUAGGAUUAGUUGUUAUUGAAAUGUGUAACUUCGUUUACUGAACUAUUAUGCAUUUAGAAGUAUGCUACUCUACGUGUCCUUCCUAUCGUUUAGAUAUUUUGGAUAAUUUGACAUGUUGUCUACAACUAAAAUUCGCUAUAUUGACCAACAUAGCAAAAUGUCUUUUUAAGGAGCCCUGUUACUCUAGCAUUAUAAACGUAUGCAUGUUUAUAUUGUACCGAAAAUUAAGUAU